AGCCCGGCGUGGGGGGGAGCCCGGCGUGGGGGGGAGUUUUCCCACCCGCGUUCCCCGGGUUGAGUCCCCAGCUGCCGUCGCCCCGCGGGGGAGGGGAAAUAAUUCAGCGCUGUGACACCGCGCUGUGCGAACAGGCGGGUGGGGCGCGGCUUGUGCGCGGGCCCCUGCUUUGCCUGCUCGAGCCUAGGCCUGGUUUAACUGGCAGGCAUCAGUCCGGCUUAAAGGGGGUGCUUUCCUGCGCGAGGGGAACUCACAGCGCGGUUUAACUGCUUUCGUCUUUCAGAUACGUCUGUGCAAAGUGACAAGCAUGCAGUUUAGAAAAAAUCAGGUGGGAUAAGUUUCAGCGCGCCAGCUGAUGGAAGCUGCUACUGAAGAGCGUGGCAUGAGGGACACCCUCGCUGUCCUCAGCAGAUCAGAGCAUUUGACCACUCUCAGCUGCUGUUGUCAAACAUGAAUCAGGUGGGAAGCUGUUGCUGGAGACUUGUGCAGUGAUGGAAAGAGAGAAGCAUAGGUCAUGAAGACAUGCUUGAGACAAACCAAUCUGUAUCUUCAAGAGAAGGAGUAAGAAAUAAGGCUGCUACAAUCUGCCCAUGCAUUUCAAGCACCGUAAAAUGGAAGCGACAACUCCCUUCUGUCUUGAAAAAAAUACUAGAGUUUAAGAAAUAGCAUGGGAAAGGUAUACAUCAUAUACUGGGGCCUGCUCUUUAGAAUAGGUAAA